GUUAAGGUUAAAGAUAAACAAGCAAAAUUAUCAAAAGCUUCUCUUCUAAACAAAGUCCCUGGAUAAAUCAAGAAUGUGUAUGCUGAGAGAAGUUCUGUCGGUAUGAUUCCAGGCAUAUAUAGAUGUUAAGCAAUUCUCAUCCUGUACACACAGACGACACCUAUUUGACUCUGGGCUGCAGUUCCCAAAAAAUCCUCUUUUUAAAACCAAGGCUGAGGUCGAAGAAUAAGUCAACAUCACAUUCUGAUGCCUUCAGUGCAGUGGUUUGAAGGAUAAGAAGAAACUGAUGUAUUGCAUUAUACUGCAAUUUACACACCAUACCUACUUUUCAGUUUCAUUAAUUCCUCAAUCCCAAUUAGUUUGUAAAAUAGGGGUUUCUACUGUAGGAAAAAUGGUGUAACUUUCUGGUGUCAACAAGCCCCAGACAGAGCAGCAGAUGGGUUCACAGGUGACUCAAGCUCUUCUGAUUUUUCACCCUUUUCUCCCCCCACCCCAAGAACUGAAAUUUCAAAAUUGUGAAAUAUUUUUAACCAGCUUUAGAGAUGGCAGAAAAAUGCGAACCAUCUCUUAACAAGAAAAUUCCAUUGAAUGUUUUCCUGUUUUUAGUUAAUUUUCAUCCAAAUAUUGAAAAUUUGAAAAAUUCUUACCAGCUCUGCGGAUGAGAUCCCUUAGGUUACUAAGUGAUUACCCCAUCCCCAUGCUGGAGAUGUCCGUAAAGGUCGGUUUGUAGAUUAUAAUUUAGAGACGCUCUCUCAGAAGGGACAGUAUUAUGAAUAUAGGAAUUAGGAGAUGUGCCUUGGAGGCAGGGGUUGGGAACACCACGUGGCUGUGUGCAGCAGUUCACCACAGCAACUCUCCAGUUUCUUUUAUUAAAGUUUUAUUCCUUUCUCAUUUAUUUGGUUUCUUGUUUAAUGAACCCCAAGAUUGUGACAUGGUGUCAGAAGUGCUGCAUGACAAGGAAACUGCAGUCAUUUUGAAGUUAACUCCUGUGUUUGCAACUGAAAGAGACAAAAAGAGGCACCAGACAAGCAUGUGGCGUACCAGGCACUGAGGUUUUUGCAUAUAUUUGAUGAGUUUGGGAAGCGGGGUAAACCCGUUUCUCAAAGACAAAGGACAAGUUCACACCCCUAGCCGGUGUUAUCAAAGCUGAUGGACUAUCAUCUAUCAAGUGGCCAUUCUUUGGCAUGGAAGGAGGAGAAGGGAAGAGACAAACAGAUCUGCAUCUUAGCAAACAGAGCUGAAAAGCAAAUAGCAUAACACCUCUUCCCUACUAAACUUCAAGUCUCCUUGCUCUCAGCUGGAAAUAACUCUCAGGAAAGUGCAUUUUAAAGGGUGAUUGAACUAUAAAAAAAAAAAGAGGGGCAAAAACACCCCAGGUUAUCUUUCCCUAACCAUCUCUCUUUUCCACCCAAGAUGACAAAAGAAAAACAGCCUGUGGAUUUUGUGAGCAGAUUCUGACCUGAACUUGGUCAGCAAUGACACUGGGGACCUGUGCAAAAAAUUUCAGCUUGAACCAAGUUUAGUUUGUUAAAUUUAGUACUAGAAAGCAUUGUAUCUUUAUUCUUCUUGUAACCAUUUCUGACUUUAAUGCCUCAAUACUUGUACACACUUACAUCUCUUUGUAGUUAAAGAAAAAAACAACCCUUGUUUUAUUCUUCAAUCAAAACAUAAUCCAA